rnacentral:rRNA from 1 species
GACGAACGCUGGCGGCGUGCUUAACGCAUGCAAGUCGAACGGAAAGGCCCUGCUUUUGUGGGGUGCUCGAGUGGCGAACGGGUGAGUAACACGUGAGUAACCUGCCCUUGACUUUGGGAUAACUUCAGGAAACUGGGGCUAAUACCGGAUAGGAGCUCCUGCUGCAUGGUGGGGGUUGGAAAGUUUCGGCGGUUGGGGAUGGACUCGCGGCUUAUCAGCUUGUUGGUGGGGUAGUGGCUUACCAAGGCUUUGACGGGUAGCCGGCCUGAGAGGUUGACCGGCCACAUUGGGACUGAGAUACGGCCCAGACUCCUACGGGAGGCAGCAGUGGGGAAUAUUGCACAAUGGGCGGAAGCCUGAUGCAGCAACGCCGCGUGCGGGAUGACGGCCUUCGGGUUGUAAACCGCUUUCGCCUGUGACGAAGCGUGAGUGACGGUAAUGGGUAAAGAAGCACCGGCUAACUACGUG